ACGCUUGAAGUCAGUCGCGUUGUUCGGGAUUCAGCUUUUAGCUUCUGCUAGGUGGAUUUCCUGUUCGACGGGUCAGCAUCAGUUUUGGCCGGUGGAUAAAGGUUCAGGGAAUGUGGCAUCUUCGGAUGUGUUAUAGCUCUGGGUCGCAUACAUCGGCUGGGACUGAGGAACUCAGCACGCUGCAAGGCCAGGUUUCGACCAUGUUCGUGCUUAGGAUGCUGGCAUAAUGGCUUUAAUCGACCCGUCUUGAAACACGGACCAAGGAGUC
rnacentral:rRNA from 1 species